GCAUGCGUUCCAUUAGUUAGUUGGCGGGGUAACGGCCCACCAAGACAUCGAUGGAUAGGGGUUCUGAGAGGAAGGUCCCCCACACUGGUACUGAGACACGGACCAGACUCCUACGGGAGGCAGCAGUGAGGAAUAUUGGUCAAUGGGCGUGAGCCUGAACCAGCCAAGUCGCGUGCAGGAAGACGGCCCUACGGGUUGUAAACUGCUUUUAGGGGGGAAUAAAGUGCGGGACGUGUCCCGUUUUGUAUGUACCCCCGGAAUAAGCAUCGGCUAACUCCGUGCCAGCAGCCGCGGUAAUACGGAGGAUGCGAGCGUUAUCCGGAUUUAUUGGGUUUAAAGGGUGCGUAGGCGGAAGCUUAAGUCAGCGGUGAAAGUUUGUCGCUUAACGAUAAAAUUGCCAUUGAAACUGGGUUUCUUGAGUACGAUUGAGGUAGGCGGAAUGCGUGGUGUAGCGGUGAAAUGCAUAGAUAUCACGCAGAACUCCGAUUGCGAAGGCAGCUUACCAAGCCGUAACUGACGCUGAAGCACGAAAGCGUGGGUAUCAAACAGGAUUAGAUACCCUGGUAGUCCACGCUGUAAACGAUGAUUACUAGUUGUUUGCGAUAGACAGUAAGCGACAGAGCGAAAGCGUUAAGUAAUCCACCUGGGGAGUACGCCGGCAACGGUGAAACUCAAAGGAAUUGACGG
rnacentral:rRNA from 1 species